rnacentral:rRNA from 1 species
GACAGAGGGGGCAAGCGUUGCUCGGAAUUACUGGGCGUAAAGGGCGCGUAGGCGGGAUGGCAAGUCGGUCGUGAAAUCCUUCGGCUCAACCGAAGAACGUCGGCCGAUACUGCCGUUCUUGAGGGAUGCAGAGGAGAUUGGAAUUCCCGGUGUAGCGGUGAAAUGUGUAGAGAUCGGGAGGAACACCGGUGGCGAAGGCGGGUCUCUGGGCAUCUCCUGACGCUGAGGCACGAAGGUCAGGGGAGCAAACGGG